CUGCCAGCGGGGCCGCCUCGGUGUCGAUGCCUGCGUUAUUUUGCCCGCUCCGCCCCCGCCGGAGAAACCUCAUCCUACUUAUAGUGGCGACCGCAAGCGCCGAGCAGUCAUGAGUCAGCCGUGCCCAGCAUCGCACGGGGAGGCAGCCAUGCUUCUGCUUCUACCAGCCUUCCCAGGAUCUCUUCAACUGCUGCUUCAGCUACGGCAAACAACAGAACAAAUCCCAAAUCAGAGCCCUUGUUCAGCAAAGAUCUACACACAGAAGAAACAGCCUGCCAAAUACAGAGGUCUGAAACUGCCUGCAGUGUGUUGGUCUGUUUACCUAGCAUGGCUCAUGCUAUUCUAUUUGCUUAAGUGUCAUUACAUGCAUCCUGGGAGAGGUGAGAGGAAUGCCUUCUGCAACCUAUGCUGAGUUUUUCUGAAACCAUGAUGUGAAAAGAAUGCCAUUUCAUGUCAAGGAACUGUUAUUUCACCUAGCAUUUUGUAUUCCUCAGACUACAUUUUACCUGCCUGGGGUGUGUAUGUGUGAUCUACUGAAAUCACUCGCCAUCUUCCAUAAUUUAUGCUGCUCUUCAGUCUUAGCAGUGUGCAUAAACUUCAGUGACACUUUGUCAUUCCUCUCUAAAUCAUUUUGAAAAAUCAUUUGAGGAACAGCUCCAGAUCCAUGGUAUUCUGUGUUUCUCCUGCUUCACUUUCCAGACCAGGUUCUGAAGUGGCAGGAUGACACAGCAGAAGAAAAAUCACAGCCAGGAAGGUGUGCAUUGUCCCAGUAGCAAGAAAUUGGAAUGUAUCAUGUGGUAGCAUGAACCUUGGCAUACCUAUUCAGCCUGGCAGUGUCAUCCCAUGGUGAUGGAGGCAAGGAGAAUCCAGCUGAAAGAAAAUGUUCACCUUUUUCUUCAGGCAAUCUCUUCAUAAAACCUCACAGUGAGCAAAUAAACAUAGUGGAAGAGGGGAGGUGUGAGGGGUAAUCUUUAAGACACUAGGGACUUAGCAUUUACUAUUGUCACGCAGGACUGUACCCAGAUUAUUUGUUUCCUAUUGCUUAAUCCAUUUAUAACACAGUGUACUAAUCCACAGUUUGUCAUUUGACCCAGUGCCCUGCUGUGUGGAGCUCUGUCAAAGGAAUUUGAAAACCUGCUGACACUUUCUGCUUCCUUAAAUCAAUGGGACUCUUUUGUGGGUUUGAGGGAGAGAGCUGCAGCUCAGCUGGCCUGAUCCCGCACCCCAAAUUAACAAUGUCUGUGGUUGCACAUAGUGAGCCUCCUCAGUGCUGGAGUUGACCCUGCCUACCUUCCUUUCUGUCUCAUAUUUUGGAAGAGAGAAAUUCUUUAGUCUUGGAAAACAUCCUUGUUUUUCCACACUGCAUGCUCUUGCCAGUCUUUCUGUUCUGAAGUUUAGCUUCUGAACACUCCUGAAUUCUUUUAACUUCAUCAGCUUAGGUUUUCUUAACUUGCUCCUUUGCCUCCUCUUCAGAAAUGUUUAUCUUCAUAACAGCACAAUCAGCAUUUCAAUAAAUUUCAAAAUCCCCCACUACAGUGAGAACAAAUGUAAAUAAUAAAUUCAGCUUCUUGAAAAUAUCUUAA